ACUUGUUAUUAUCCGAUCAACAAAAACUCAAAAACCCCACAAUUCUAUCAAUAAUUCAACAGGACAAAUAACGUCAUUUUAUGGGCAAGAAAGAGCCCUGCAAGGAGGUUCCAGAGCCCUGCAAGGAGGUUCCCGAGGAUGUGACUCGUGAGUCAUUGAUUGCCAUCUCUUACCGACUACCGGAGACCGAGUUCAUUACUGAAGAGUCACCUAAAAAAUCGGACAAUGAGAAAGUUGUCCAACCUCUCAAACAUGACGGAGACGAGAAAUAUAGGUCUAAGCUGAUGUCGAUAUCCAACUCACAAUCACCCAACAUGAAAAUCCUACCUGUUUUGCCUGGGCAAAUUGACGGUUAGCUUAGGUUGCAGGGUUUUAUGUGAUGAAUACAAUGUAAAACUUAUGAAUUGUUAUGAUUUGAAAGAAACUAGUUGUAGUGGCCUCAGUUGCUAAUAUCGUUCGAGUUACGUUGUGAAUGCACUUAUUGUAAUGAAUUAUUAAUGGUACAAUACACUUAAGCAUUCACAUAUUGUGAUACUUGUAAUUAUAGUGGCUUACUUGUAAAUUCCUGUGGAUUGUGGAUAUUUGUUUUGCAAGUUUUUUCUUCUUUU